CUGGCACCUCGUGCCCGGAGGAUAUAUGGGACCUGGUUUCCACCAUUUGAGCCGGUUGGCGAGAGAGUCGCUGGCGGAGUCGACGUGGAAGUCGUAUUCUGCGGUCUGGCGGCAGUGGACAGGUGUCUGCAAGGACAGGGAGGCGUCUACGGACGAAGGUAGGCUGGGAGCGACUCUGGCCUUUUUGGAGUCACUCUGCGAGAAGGGUAAGUCGGUAGCGGCAGCAGAGAGGGCGUUAGCGGCCCUGUCUUUUCUGUUCCAGUGGUGUGGGUGGCAGGAUGCGACCAAGUCAUUCUGCAUUUCGCGGAUCAUGAAGGGCUGGAAGAAGGGUCGUAGGCGGGACGCUCGGCGUCCCAUCUCCUAUGAGAUCUUGUGCAGACUCCUGGAGCGUCUGCCCCAGAUUUGUGUUUCGGGCUACGAGGUUCUCCUGUUUCGGGCCGCGUUUGCUGUCUGCUUUUUUGCGGCUCUUCGGAUAGGCGAGCUGGUGGCACCGAGUACGCGGGGGCCAGCUGCCAUGCAACUUGCUGAUGUCACGGUCUCGACGGGUGACAUGGAGUUGAUCAUUCGUAAAUCUAAGACAGAUCAGGUAGGUGUGGGCGCAUCGGUUCGGAUUAUGGCUACUGGUGAGCAGUUUUGCCCGGUUAAGUUGCUGCGGGAUUUCUUGGCGGUGCGAGGAUCGGAGGCAGGAUCCCUGUUGCGGCAUCGGGAUGGGUCAGCGCUCAGCCGGUUUCAGUUCGCCAGGGUUCUCCGGGCAGGGGUGGUUAGUCUUGGGUUGUCUCCGGGUUUGUACACCACGCACUCGUUUCGAAUCGGAGCUGCCAC